rnacentral:sRNA from 1 species
AAAAAUGAAGACGGGACAUUUUGAAAUAGUCACCAUGCUGCUGGCAACCAUGAUUCUAGUGGACAUUUUCCAGAAUAUUUUCAGCCCAUCUAUGUCUACAACCCUGGUGAGAAAAACCAGAAGCUUGAAGACCAUAGUGAGAAAAACUGGAAGCUUGAAGACCAUGGUGAGAAAAACCAGAAGCUUGAAGACCAUGGUGUGAAAAUCCUUGAACCCACCCAAAUACCUGCUCCAGGUCCAGUUCCUGUUCCAGGUCCCAAAAGCCAUCCUUCUGCAUCCUUGGGCAAACUGCUGCUUCCACAGUUUGGGAUGGUCAUCAUUUUAAUCAGUGUUUCUGCUAUAAAUCUCUUUGUUGCUCUGUAGUUUGAUGCAUUGUUUAUC